rnacentral:rRNA from 1 species
GACAGCAGCCGCCACGGUAAUACGUAGGGUGCAAGCGUUACUCGGAAUUACUGGGCGUAAAGCGCACGUAGGCGGUUAUUCAAGUCAGAGGUGAAAGCCCGGGGCUCAACCCCGGAACUGCCUUUGAAACUAGAUGACUAGAAUCUUGGAGAGGUCAGUGGAAUUCCGAGUGUAGAGGUGAAAUUCGUAGAUAUUCGGAAGAACACCAGUGGCGAAGGCGACUGACUGGACAAGUAUUGACGCUGAGGUGCGAAAGCGUGGGGAGCAAACAGGAUUAGAUACCCCCGUAGUCCCUGUCUCUUAUAC